AAACCCUAAUCUCCUUCUCUUUCAUUCUCUGCCCAUUCCGCCUCUCUCUUCUCUUUGGGCCGACAGAUGGUGAUGUUGGUGCCGUUAUCCGGUGACGACGAAGAGGAUGAUAACAACAAUAAAUUAGACGAAAAUGACGACGAUGGCCAUUGUGGAGUUGAAGGUGAAGAUGAGGUGGCGCAGGGAUAACUUAAUCAUUACGCGGGGGCUCUCCGGAGCCCAUUUUAUGGAGUUUGUUCUUCGUUUUUGGGGGUUGCUUCUCUGUUUUUGACUACUCGUCUGCUCCGGCUCCGACUCCUGCCAGCGACGGGGCAACGAUAUAUCAAGGGAUUGCAAGUUGAUGUUGGUGGCUUUGGUAGUGACAUACCUACUGAAGAGAGAUUAUUUGAAUUGGGGUUGGAUUAUAUGUUGUGUUAUUUAGUCAUGAAUUUAGGGCAAAAUUUAUGGAUUUAUAUACCAA